GAGAACCCGCCCCCUUUGCCGGAACUAUCGCAUCUUCCAACGGAAAUCUAGUUGCCAAAAGAGGUGGAAAUGCGUCAUUGGCUAGAGAUCCCAUCAGAUCUGGAGCUGCUGGCCUACGCCACAGCCACAGCAACACCAGAUCCAAGCCGUGUCUGCGACCUACACCACAGCUCACAGCAACGCUGGAUCCUUAACCCACUGAGCGAGGCCAGGGACCGACCCCUCGUCCUCAGGGAAUGCUAGUCAGGUUCAUUACCGCUGAGCCAUGACGGGACCUCCUGCAUUUAGAUUUUUAGCGAACAUCUACUUCGCGCCUCACCUCAAGUCAGUUGCUGGGGAGAAGCAGAAAGGAGGCGUGGGCUGGGCUAGUGCGCAGGUGGACUCAGCCCACCCCUAGUGAGGCUCCCUGCCUGGACUUCUGGGAGAGGCUUGAAUGAGCCUUGAAGGAGAUACCUGACUAUCAAAGGAGGGGGCGAAACAGCAUCCCGAGCCAAGGAAAUGACAUUGUGAAAGCCUCCAAGAUGUUUGGGGUUCAUGACUCCUUGGCACAGUUAAGGCCUGGGGUCCACGGGACAGUCGGGGGAGAGAUGAAGUGAUGAGGCCGAAACCAGAGCAGCGGCUGACUGCACCUCAGGAGUCUGCGGGGGAAGGACUUUGUGGACGUGGCGAUUAUCUCAACUGUUUGUGGGGCAAUCACAGGAGCAUCUGGGGAGAAAACUGGCCCCAGAAGGAAAAGGGCUGCAGGCGGGAAGACCAGAAAGGAUGCUGUUCAGAUGGCCCAGGUGAAAGCCAGUGAGGGCCUAGACUGAGCAGACGUGGUGGGAUGGAGGGGCCCCAGGAGACAGCUCUGGAUUUGGCAGUUGCGGGGGAGGAGCUAGAACAUUGUGCUUUUACAAGAGUGGGUUAUUUAUCCAAAAACAAACAAAACAAAACAACAGCAACAACAGGGCAUUGCCGCAAGCUGUGGUGUAGGCUGCAGAUGUGGCUCGGAUCCAGCGUGGCUGUGGCUGUGCCGUAAGCCAGCAGCUGCAGCUCCGAUUCGAGCCCAGGAACUUCCAUAUGCCUCAGGUGGGGCCCUAGAAAAGGACAGAAAAAAAAAAAAA
rnacentral:lncRNA from 1 species